UACCCUAGUUGAUGCCGAUCCUUCUGUUGACCCAUGAGAACUUGUAGAUGUGCUGGGGGAAGAACUGAUCGAAAUUUCCUUUUUGAUGAAAUUAUAGAUGCUUAUGUAUUUUAUUUUUGGAGAAGUCUAGUUAGGUGCUCGACAUAGGCUAUAUCUAGAAUUACUAUUUUAAUAUAUAUGUUGUCUAUUGGCUAGAAGGAGCUAAGUUCCUGAUUAACAUGAGAUUCUGUGAAUAUUUUUUUUGUUGUAGAGUUUCGAAAGAUCCUAUUUAUAAAUAAGGUUUUAUUGAAAUUUUAAAAAAAUUUAUGAAACUUUAUUAUAAUGAUCAAUAUCAAAAAUGUUAAAAUUUCAAUAUAAGAUUAGAGGCUUAUAAAGAUGUGUUAUAUGGUUUACAUUUUGUGUCAAUUAUCUUUUAUUUUGGGGCAUGACAAUUCUAGAAAGACAGAGGAAGAUGUUUUCAGUGAAGUGAUGCUUUUAAGCUAUGUUCACCAUCCGAAUCUCGUUCAACUUUUAGGAUUGUAUUGUAAAGGCCAUGUCAGAAUCCUUGUAUAUGAAUACAUGAAAAACAACAGUCUGGACAGAUUUUGGAUUGGCGAGACUUUCACCUAAAGACAAAUUUCAUUUUAGUAUAAAAGUUACAGGAAUAUUGUAAGUUCAAAUUAAAUACUAAAGUUUCUUUGAUUUUUCUUAACUUGUGUUAUGGUACAUGAAUUAUCUAACAUAUCAUUAGAAUAUGAAUCUAUGCAUAAAUAAGAACACUCCUAUCACACUUGCAAAAAAGUUCUAACCUUUUCGAUUGUCUCUAUACACCAUCAAUGCUUGAAGAAAGAAUUCAUAGCUCUGUCAAACAUGAUCUGAUCUAAUACUUCAGUUUUCACAUCUCUAUUUCAUAUUUAGUUGGAUAAUAAUUGUUUCCUUUUAUUUGAGCUAGCUAUCAAUAUAGUUAAUUGUAUCAUAUAAUUUUUAUGCAUUUGUUAGGGAAGACACAGCACUAGAGUAUAUAAUCCAUGGUCAAUUGUUUAUGCAUUUGUUAGGGAAUACACAGCACCAAAGUAUAUAAUCCAUGAUCAAUUAUCAGAGAAGGCUGAUGUCUAUAGCUAUGGUAUUGUAGUUCUUGAAAUUAUUAGUGGCCAAAAAAGCAAAGCAUUAGAGGAUGAUGGUGACAAUGAAAAUGAGUUACUCCCUCUGAAUGUGCGAAAUUCCUAUGCUCAGGGGCAGAGCUAGGAUUUUUAAGUAGGGGGCCAAGAUCUCAAGACAUAUACUAUAAUUGAAGAAAAGAAAAAUCCAACAUAACAUACAUAUUUCAACAUCUAGCUAGCUAUAUUCAUGUUUAUUAAUAUUAAAAUAUAAAAUCAAAAUAAAUAUGUAACUUCAUUUUUUAAGUUUUGGUCGUCGAUUUGGAAGGAGGUAGUUGGAUAGGUUGCUCCAUAAUUGACAUUGUUGGUUGUUCAAUAACAUUUUUAACACUAGAAAUAGAUGGUGUUCUUUCAUCAUUUAUCUCUUUUCCCUUGAAAAAUGGAUCCAUAGUUUUUUUUCUUAGACAUCUUUCAAUCUUAAAAAAAUAUAAGUUGUAAAUUAUAUUAUGUAAAAUGUCAAAAUGAAUAAAAAAAAUUAUAAGAUGUCAUGAUACAAAUCUGGAGUGGAAUGGGCCUAGUAGAAAUAUAGGCUGGAGAUAUAAUGAGUAGGUUAGGAAUUAGGUCAAGCUUUUUUGAAGGUGAGAGAAAUGGAGGUUAUAUAUAUUUUGAGAAGAGACAUAAUUGAAGAUGUGAAGAAUUUUAGUGAAACCUCUCCUUCCUUGAAUUUUUGUCUGGCUUUCAUUCCUGGAGGAUGUUCUUCUUCUUUUUGAUGAUUCUAUCCUUCUCUAUCUAUAUUUCCUUUAUGUUUCUACUUCUGUUCUUCCUUUAAUGGAACCUUAUGGCUAUUUUACUUGAGCUUUUCCUUCUAUUGUAAUGCUAUACGAGUGCAUUAAGCUUUAGUGUAAUACAAUUUUAGUAUAAUAUGAUUUAUGGCUAUCAAGUUUUAUAUAUGACCAUGACAAAUGGUGCUUUCAUUGAGAGAUUGGUGUCAUGAAAAAGGCUAUUGACAGAAGAUUUUGAUUGGAAAAAGGCCGAGUGAAGUAUAGGGGAGUGAAGUCGCUGGGGACGUCAGCUCUUAAUGGGGAGGCAUUGUCACUAGUCCCAUAUCAAGGAGCCUUACAAGUAUUGUGGAGUUUAUAAGUGUGAGGAGAUCUCCCACCUAACAGACUCUACACCUGAGGAGGAAGUUCGAUUGGAUGAAAUCGGAGCUUCUUUAGAAAGUUUUUCUCCAUGGAUGGUACAGCAAAAUGCAUAACUAAAAAAAUUAGAGUCCUCUAUUCUUAAGGUUCUCUAUACUCUUGAUCGAUUAAUAGCAAGAGAUGGUCAAUACUAUCAACAACCAGCUAUCGACAUUCCACAAUUAGACUCCAUUCCUUCUUCAACUCUACAAUUGGAUGUGCUACUUUCGAAUGUUUUUGCAAGGGCAUCCGUUCCUUCCAACUUUGAUGAAAUGGUCGAUGGAGAUGAUUGGAAGAGCAAAGAAGAUUACAAUAAUGAGGGUAUUGCCCAGAUUGCAUCGAAGAUCAUUAAGUUUCAUAACAAAAAUGGCGUGCUUCAGGUUUGGCCUCUCAAAAAUAGGCGUUGCCUUUUUUGAAAGGUGGAACAAUUUCAUGAUUGUGUUAUAGUACUCCAAGCCUAAUUUGGAAUCAUUCAAUCAGCCUUCAACUAUCCUAAUGACUUUCUCUUCAGGUAUACUGGGGUUUUGGUGCUAGCUCCUUGCAUCCACCCUGUUCCAAAUUCAUAUUGUCAUAAUCUCUUCAAUCCCUUGUCAAUGGUUGUUGUGUGUAAUCAAUGGGUUGUACCUGAUUUUACUAUCUUUGAUGUUGUUAUUUCACUUCUUAA